GGUUGUGGCUCAGUGGUAGGUAGAGUGCUUGCCUUGUACUCAUGGGGCCCUGGGUUCAAUCUUCAGCACCA
rnacentral:tRNA from 1 species